GGGGAAACUCGUUUCCAGUAUUUGUGCAAAGAAAAAGACAUCCUUUAAGAAGCUACUGUAGCAAACCAAAAAAUACAAAAUUGUGACCCAGAGGACGCACAGUGACUUCCUGGCUUCUAGGGUGCUGUGGCUUUUGAGUUUUGAUGAUGACAGAAAUAUUUUAGCAGAGACUCCAUCUCCAAAAAAAAAAACAACAAAACGAACGUGAACGUUGGCAUCCUCCGGGGCUCCCAGGACGCCGUGACUUCCUGGCCGCGGUGCUUACCAGGCCGGGCCCCUGGCAGCAAAUCCAUAGGCAGAGGUCACAAUGGAAAAGUCGAAGGCGCCCUGAUGGCCAAAGCCGACUGAAAUGGAAUUAACCUCCUUUUACUCAGCGAGGCAGAGGUAAUAUUUUGUGUUCACAAUGUGUCUGUGUGUCUAUCAGCAUUUACAGUUCAAUCAGCUAAAUUUCAGUAUGGUGACACCGUUCACCGCACUCCUUCCAGCAACAUCCCCUCCGAACCCUCAGUGUCAAAGAUGAGGCAUUAGGCCGCCGGCCCUACAGGCAGACGGGCACCUUUCCCUCAGUGGCUUAAACAGAGUGAGCAUGACAUCAUCUUUCAGUGUGGUUUGUGGCUAAACGGGUUCAUGUGCAGCUCCAAGCUUUGGAGCCACCGAGACUGGGGGCA